GACAGAGGGUGCAAACGUUGCUCGGAAUUACUGGGCGUAAAGGGCUCGUAGGCGGCCAACUAAGUCGGAUGUGAAAUCCCCAGGCUUAACCCGGGAACUGCAUCCGAUACUGGAUGGCUUGAAUCCGGGAGAGGGAUGCAGAAUUCCAGGUGUAGCGGUGAAAUGCGUAGAUAUCUGGAGGAAUACCGGUGGCGAAGGCGGCAUCCUGGACCGGCAUUGACGCUGAGGAGCGAAAGCUAGGGGAGUAAACGGGA
rnacentral:rRNA from 1 species